rnacentral:rRNA from 1 species
CCCAGCGGUGAUAGCACGUUGAAUGCACCAGUUCUCGAUGAAUAACUGAAGUUAAGCAACGUUGCGUCUGGUUAGUACCUGGAUGGGUGACCAUCUGAGGAAUCACGUGCUGCUGUCU